AUUCCAUGAUGGGGACAUUCUAGGAUGUAGUCUUGAAAGCGCUCCCAUGCUUCUGGAACAUAUUCAUCAUUUUGUUGCUGAAAACUUGUAAUCUUCCCACGGAGAGC
rfam:Sorghum bicolor cultivar BTx623 chromosome 6, whole genome shotgun sequence.